rnacentral:lncRNA from 1 species
ACAAGGCUGGGACCCCAGCCCCACAUUGUGCCAGGGAAGCAGUUGGUGCUUUAUCAGCUGUGAAGGUUGAUAGUGUGCUUUCUAUAUAAUGAAGUUUCCGUUACAAAGCUUGGAUUCCAACUUCAGCACCCCACCAUUGAAGACUUCAAACAGCAAGUGGAUAUAGUCAAGUUGAAGAUUUUUCUCUGAAAUUGUUUAAGUAGCAAGAAAACUGGCCGUCUAAAUCACAAAAUCAGCAAAACAAAAAGGAAAGACACUUCUAUAAAAGACGAAGUUGGUUGUACUUCCCAUGAAACCAUUACUUGAAGACACACGUUUGCAUAAUAGCAAUGAGACAAAAAGAUGGACCCCGCAUAAUUCCUUGGAUUUCUGAUCUGGAACUAAGUCUUUCAAUGAUCCUUGCAUGCACCUGGUCGGUGGAGAUAUUAAUGACAUGGUAG